UACGUAGGGUGCGAGCGUUAAUCGGAAUUACUGGGCGUAAAGUGUGCGCAGGCGGCCGAGCAAGUCGAGUGUGAAAGCCCCGAGCUUAACUUGGGAACUGCGCUCGAAACUACUUGGCUAGAGUGUGGCAGAGGGAGGUGGAAUUCCACGUGUAGCGGUGAAAUGCGUAGAGAUGUGGAGGAACACCGAUGGCGAAGGCCAGCCUCCUGGGCCAACACUGACGCUCAUGCACGAAAGCGUGGGGAGCAAACAGG
rnacentral:rRNA from 1 species